rnacentral:rRNA from 1 species
AGUGAACGCUGGCGGUAGGCCUAACACAUGCAAGUCGAACGGCAGCACAGUAAGAGCUUGCUCUUACGGGUGGCGAGUGGCGGACGGGUGAGGAAUACAUCGGAAUCUACUUUUUCGCGGGGGAUAACGUAGGGAAACUUACGCUAAUACCGCAUACGACCUACGGGUGAAAGCAGUGGAUCUUCGGACCUUGCGCGAUUGAUUGAGCCGAUGUCGGAUUAGCUAGUUGGCGGGGUAAAGGCCCACCAAGGCAACGAUCCGUAGCUGGUCUGAGAGGAUGAUCAGCCACACUGGAACUGAGACACGGUCCAGACUCCUACGGGAGGCAGCAGUGGGGAAUAUUGGACAAUGGGCGCAAGCCUGAUCCAGCCAUACCGCGUGGGUGAAGAAGGCCUUCGGGUUGUAAAGCCCUUUUGUUGGGAAAGAAAAGCAGCAGGUUAAUACCCCGCUGUUCUGACGGUACCCAAAGAAUAAGCACCGGCUAACUUCGUG